AUUGAACGCUGGCGGCAGGCCUAACACAUGCAAGUCGAACGAGUGGCGGACGGGUGAGUAAUGUCUGGGAAACUGCCCGAUGGCGGGGGAUAACUACUGGAAACGGUAGCUAAUACCGCAUACCAUCAGAUGUGCCCAGAUGGGAUUAGCUUGUUGGUGGGGUAACGGAUCACCAAGGCGACGAUCCCUAGCUGGUCUGAGAGGAGUACCAGCCACACCGGGCCGGAGACACGGGCCAUAAUUCUACGGGAGGCAGCAGUGGGGAAUAUUGCACAAUGGGCGCAAGCCUGAUGCAGCCAUGCCGCGUGUAGGAAGAAGGCCUCCGGGUUGUAAAGUACUUUCAGCGGGGAGGCGUUACCCGCAGAAGAAGCACCGGCUAACACCGUGCCAGCAGCCGCGGUAAUUC
rnacentral:rRNA from 1 species